rnacentral:pre_miRNA from 1 species
GGAUGAUGAUGAUGAUGAUGACGAUGAUGACGAGGAUGUCGAUCAUCGUCAUCAUAAUCAUCCUCAUCACCAUCAUCAUCGUCAUCAUCAGCAGUU